UACGUAGGGGGCGAGCGUUGUCCGGAAUUACUGGGCGUAAAGCGCGCGCAGGCGGUUCUCCAAGUCAGGGGUGAAAUCCCGGGGCUCAACCCCGGAACUGCCUUUGAUACUGGGUAUCUCGAGUCCGGAAGAGGUGAGUGGAAUUCCGAGUGUAGAGGUGAAAUUCGUAGAUAUUCGGAGGAACACCAGUGGCGAAGGCGGCUCACUGGUCCGGUACUGACGCUGAGGUGCGAAAGCGUGGGGAGCAAACAGG
rnacentral:rRNA from 1 species